UGGCAUAGCUCAUGUGGCAGAGCACGAGACUCUUAAUCUCAGGGUUGUGGGUUUGAUCCCCACAUUGGGCAAAA